UACGGGGGGGGCAAGCGUUGUUCGGAAUUACUGGGCGUAAAGGGCUCGUAGGCGGCCAACUAAGUCAGACGUGAAAUCCCUCGGCUUAACCGGGGAACUGCGUCUGAUACUGGAUGGCUUGAGUUUGGGAGAGGGAUGCGGAAUUCCAGGUGUAGCGGUGAAAUGCGUAGAUAUCUGGAGGAACACCGGUGGCGAAGGCGGCAUCCUGGACCAACACUGACGCUGAGGAGCGAAAGCAUGGGGAGCGAACAGG
rnacentral:rRNA from 1 species